rnacentral:rRNA from 1 species
UACGGGGGGGGCAAGCGUUGUUCGGAAUUACUGGGCGUAAAGGGCUCGUAGGUGGCCAACUAAGUCGGACGUGAAAUCCCUCGGCUUAACCGGGGAACUGCGUCCGAUACUGGUUGGCUUGAGUUUGGGAGAGGGAUGCGGAAUUCCAGGUGUAGCGGUGAAAUGCGUAGAUAUCUGGAGGAACACCGGUGGCGAAGGUGGCAUCCUGGACCAAUACUGACGCUGAGGAGCGAAAGCCAGGGGAGCAAACGGG